rnacentral:misc_RNA from 1 species
AGUCGUAACAAGGUUUCCGUAGGUGAACCUGCGGAAGGAUCAUUACCGAGUGCGGGCCCUCUGGGUCCAACCUCCCACCCGUGUUUAUCGUACCUUGUUGCUUCGGCGGGCCCGCCGUCAGGCCGCCGGGGGGCGUCUGCCCCCGGGCCCGCGCCCGCCGAAGACACCAUCGAACGCUGUCUGAAGGUUGCCGUCUGAGUCGAUUAUCAAAUCGUUAAAACUUUCAACAACGGAUCUCUUGGUUCCGGCAUCGAUGAAGAACGCAGCGAAAUGCGAUAAGUAAUGUGAAUUGCAGAAUUCAGUGAAUCAUCGAGUCUUUGAACGCACAUUGCGCCCCCUGGUAUUCCGGGGGGCAUGCCUGUCCGAGCGUCAUUGCUGCCCUCAAGCCCGGCUUGUGUGUUGGGUCGCCGUCCCCCCCGGGGACGGGCCCGAAAGGCAGCGGCGGCACCGCGUCCGGUCCUCGAGCGUAUGGGGCUUCGUCACCCGCUUUGUAGGCCCGGCCGGCGCUUGCCGACAACCUCUUUUUUUUAUCCAGGUUGACCUCGGAUCAGGUAGGGAUACCCGCUGAACUUAAGCAUAUCAAUAAGCGGAGGAA